UGGCUCAGAGCGAACGUUAGCGCGGGCCUAACACAUGCAAGUCGAACGGGCAGUAGCAAUACUGUCAGUGGCGCACGGGUGAGUAACGCGUAGAUAAUCUACCUUCCGAGCGGGGGAUAACGUUCCGAAAGGAACGCUAAUACCGCAUAAGACCACGGGGUCCUCGGGCCUUGCGGGAAAAGGUGGCCUCUCCUUGGAAGCUAUCACUGGAAGAUGAGUCUGCGUCCCAUCAGCUAGUUGGUGAGGUAAUGGCUCACCAAGGCGAAGACGGGUAGCUGGUCUGAGAGGAUGAUCAGCCACACUGGUACUGGAACACGGACCAGACUCCUACGGGAGGCAGCAGUGGGGAAUAUUGGGCAAUGGGCGAAAGCCUGACCCAGCCACGCCGCGUGAGUGAUGAAGGCCUUCGGGUUGUAAAGCUCUGUGGGAAGGGGCGAAAAACCGCAAAGCGAAUAGCGAGCGGGUUGACGGUACCUUCUUAGCAAGCACCGGCUAACUCUGUGCCAGCAGCCGCGGUAA
rnacentral:rRNA from 1 species